CCACACUGUUUGCUUUGCUGUCCCAAGGCAUCCCAAAUGGUCUUGGGGUACCCACUGCAGUGAGGAGGACUGCCUGGAGAUGCUCCAGAGAGAGGGAUCCAUCUCUUGCCAGAUCAAAUGCUGCCUUCAUCUGGAUGGUGGUUAUUACUUACAAAGUAUUAGGAAAAGGGAAAAAGCACCCCAACAUGGUGCCUAAAACCUUCAGUGAGCCUGUCAUCGCCCCAGUGACAUAAUCCGCCUGCUAGAUUUGACGUGCAAAAGAAUGUCAGAAACUCCUCAGAGGAAAACAUGCAACACAACAGAAAGUUGGAUGGUAUUGAUUAAAGCCCCACUUCAAAGUGUGUUGAAACAACAUAUUCUCCGUACUGCAGCACAAGAAAUCUGUCACAGCGUUUUUCACAGUGAGUCAUCCUAUCGAUAUGUGGGGAGGAGGGAUGCAUGUGGAAGUAUGCGGGUGUACACUGAGCACCCCUCCUCGCCCACAUCCACUGAGUCACAGCCCCGCAGCAGCGCUCGCACACAUCCCUACAAAGCAGCAU
rnacentral:lncRNA from 1 species